AGAGUUUGAUCAUGGCUCAGGACGAACGCUGGCGGCGUGCCUAACACAUGCAAGUCGAACGGGGUGAAGCCCUUCGGGACCUUUACCUAGUGGCGAACGGGUGAGUAACGCGUGAGGAACCUGCCUUUCAGUGGGGGACAACAGUUGGAAACGACUGCUAAUACCGCAUGAAGCUUUUGGGAGACAUCUCCUGGAAGCCAAAGCUUAAUGUGCUGAAAGAUGGCCUCGCGUCUGAUUAGCUAGUUGGUGGGGUAACGGCCCACCAAGGCGACGAUCAGUAGCCGGUCUGAGAGGAUGAACGGCCACAUUGGGACUGAGAUACGGCCCAGACUCCUACGGGAGGCAGCAGUGGGGAAUAUUGGGCAAUGGGCGAAAGCCUGACCCAGCAACGCCGCGUGAAGGAAGAAGGCCUUCGGGUUGUAAACUUCUUUUACCAGGGACGAAGGACGUGACGGUACCUGGAGAAAAAGCAACGGCUAACUACGUGCCAGCAGCCGCGGUAAUACGUAGGUUGCAAGCGUUGUCCGGAUUUACUGGGUGUAAAGGGCGUGUAGGCGGAGAUGCAAGUUAGGAGUGAAAUCUAUGGGCUCAACCCAUAAACUGCUUCUAAAACUGUAUCCCUUGAGUAUCGGAGAGGCAAGCGGAAUUCCUAGUGUAGCGGUGAAAUGCGUAGAUAUUAGGAGGAACACCAGUGGCGAAGGCGGCUUGCUGGACGACAACUGACGCUGAGGCGCGAAAGCGUGGGGAGCAAACAGGAUUAGAUACCCUGGUAGUCCACGCUGUAAACGAUGAAUACUAGGUGUGGGGGGACUGACCCCCUCCGUGCCGCAGUUAACACAAUAAGUAUUCCACCUGGGGAGUACGACCGCAAGGUUGAAACUCAAAGGAAUUGACGGGGGCCCGCACAAGCAGUGGAUUAUGUGGUUUAAUUCGACGCAACGCGAAGAACCUUACCAGGACUUGACAUCCAACUAACGAAGUAGAGAUACAUCAGGUGCCCUUCGGGGAAAGUUGAGACAGGUGGUGCAUGGUUGUCGUCAGCUCGUGUCGUGAGAUGUUGGGUUAAGUCCCGCAACGAGCGCAACCCCUAUUGUUAGUUGCUACGAAAGAGCACUCUAGCGAGACUGCCGUUGACAAAACGGAGGAAGGCGGGGACGACGUCAAAUCAUCAUGCCCCUUAUGUCCUGGGCUACACACGUAAUACAAUGGUGGCCAACAAAGGGAGGCAAAGCCGCGAGGUGGAGCAAAUCCCAAAAAUAACGUCUCAGUUCGGACUGCAGUCUGCAACUCGACUGCACGAAGCUGGAAUCGCUAGUAAUCGCGAAUCAGAAUGUCGCGGUGAAUACGUUCCCGGGUCUUGUACACACCGCCCGUCACACCAUGGGAGUUGGUAACGCCCGAAGUCAGUGACCCAACCUUUUAGGAGGGAGCUGCCGAAGGCGGGACUGAUAACUGGGGUGAAGUCGUAACAAGGUA
rnacentral:rRNA from 1 species